AUGGAGCGUCUGGCAGACUCAAGAUCCGAUCAGCCCACUUCCCCUCAGGAGAAGCAAAACCACGAGAGCAGAAAAGAGUAUUUCGUCAAGCUCGUGAACGGCGACUUCCUCAUCCGCAUCAUGGAGACUAUAGACAUGAUCUCUGAAGGCAGACGACUCUCGUGGAGUGAACCAACCAACGAGUCCUACAGGUUGCAAACACUCCAGACUCUCCUGCAGCGGCUGCGCGACUUCUACCAGAAUGAUUUGCAACAGCUGAUACUUUCCUCACCCCCUAAUAUCUACCUCCUGGCCCAUCAUCCUUUCACAGGUAGGACCACCGGGGAAACGUUUGGUGUGCGGACAGUAAAACAGAUGGAUCUUUCCCUUCUUGACCUCCCUGUGAGGCGGGAAAACGUGGCCUCGGAUCUAUUUCUUCAAGAUAUCAGCUGCCUACCAGCGUGAAAGCCGCCACUUCACUCAAGCUUAAUUCGGAUCUGGGCCACCUAGUUCUAGAAAGUAGACCAAAGACUCAGAUUGGAAGAUUAAUUAUAGAAGAUUAAUUUUUUAAAGGGUGUGACUGCACAUGUGCAAAAGGCCUUCUCCCUGUCCGCCCUCACACCAGAAGGAGAACAUAAGCACAUGCACACAAUUGCUAUUCCCAGUCUGGGACCUGAUUUGCAGACAAAUUUGAAUCUGGACUUGGGAUAACCAGUCAGCCUGUUUCGGUUGUUUAUUCAUUCUGUAUGUACAGUAGAACCCUUGUAUCUGUGGAGGAACCGUUCUAAGCCUCCCCCGUGGAUACUGAAAAACGUGGAUAAUAGUGAACACUGUUUUAAUAUCAAACACUAUAAAUAGCAUGGUCUCUGGAUCCCUCUACUGCCCAUUUCUCAUAACAUUAUAUUUAGAAAUAUGUAUUUCUAGGACUUUUAAUAUUUUUUAUAUUUUCAAGCCGUGGAUCAGUCAGUCAACGGAUACUGAUCCCGCGGAUAUGGGGGAAUCCUACUGCAUUCAAUUUUGAAAUCUAGGUUAUGGGAGGGAGAAAUGGAAGACAACAACCGGCAGUGCAUGCAAUAUUUUUUGCAGCAUCUGCAUCCUCUAAAUAUGGAGUUUCACUCACUUUGAGUUUUUUCUCUCCCCUUGGUUCCAUUCUGGCGUGACGACCCAGCCCAGGCUGUUGGUGAAAUGAAGAAGCUUUUGCUGCUCUUACUGGGAGGCGCUGUCCAGGUACCGUUGGAAAGGGCGCUUUCUUUCUGGAGCUGAAAAGAGAAUAGGACGAGGGCAGAGGAAAGGAACUCGUACACUUAGGUUCCAUUCCAGUUUCUACAGAGCUAUGAUUCUGUGAUCGAGAUGAGUGCGGAGUAGACCCACCUGAAAAUAGCCUUAUUCUCUACUCUAGGGUUCUGGUCUGAAAUAUAGCUUGGUGGAUCGCCCAGUGAUUUAGGGAUCUGGCUACAAGGGUUGA
rnacentral:lncRNA from 1 species